GCUCGUAGUUGGAUUUCGGUUGAGAACGGCCGGUCCGCCGUUUGGUGUGCACUGGCUGGUCUCAACUUCCUGUAGAGGACGCGCUCUGGGUUAACGCUCGGACGCGGAGUCUACGUGGUUACUUUGAAAAAAUUAGAGUGUUCAAAGCGGGCUUACGCUUGAAUAUUUCAGCAUGGAAUAACACUAUAGGACUCCUGUCCUAUUUCGUUGGUCUCGGGACGGGAGUAAUGAUUAAGAGGAACAGUUGGGGGCAUUCGUAUUUCAUUGUCAGAGGUGAAAUUCUUGGAUUUAUGAAAGACGAACUUCUGCGAAAGCAUUUGCCAAGGAUGUUUUCAUUAAUCAAGAACGAAAGUUGGGGGCUCGAAGAUGAUUAGAUACCAUCCUAGUCUCAACCAUAAACGAUGCCGACUAGGGAUUGCAGGAUGUUAAUUGAUGACUCCUGCAGCACCUUAUGAGAAAUCAAAGUUUUUGGGUUCCGGGGGGGAGUAUGGUCGCAAGGCUGAAACUUAAAGGAAUUGACGGAAGGGCACCACCAGGCGUGGAGCCUGCGGCUUAAUUUGACUCA
rnacentral:rRNA from 1 species